rnacentral:rRNA from 1 species
AGACCUUCGGGUCUAGCGGCGGACGGGUUAGUAACGCGUGGGAACGUACCCUUUUCUACGGAAUAGCCUCGGGAAACUGAGAGUAAUACCGUAUACGCCCUUUGGGGGAAAGAUUUAUCGGAGAAGGAUCGGCCCGCGUUAGAUUAGAUAGUUGGUGGGGUAAUGGCCUACCAAGUCUACGAUCUAUAGCUGGUUUGAGAGGAUGAUCAGCAACACUGGGACUGAGACACGGCCCAGACUCCUACGGGAGGCAGCAGUGGGGAAUCUUAGACAAUGGGCGCAAGCCUGAUCUAGCCAUGCCGCGUGAGUGAUGAAGGCCUUAGGGUCGUAAAGCUCUUUCGCCUGUGAAGAUAAUGACUGUAGCAGGUAAAGAAACCCCGGCUAACUCCGUGCCAGCAGCCGCGGUAAUACGGAGGGGGUUAGCGUUGUUCGGAAUUACUGGGCGUAAAGCGCGCGUAGGCGGACAUUUAAGUCAGAGGUGAAAUCCCAGGGCUCAACCCUGGAACUGCCUUUGAUACUGGGUGUCUUGAGUUCGAGAGAGGUGAGUGGAAUUCCGAGUGUAGAGGUGAAAUUCGUAGAUAUUCGGAGGAACACCAGUGGCGAAGGCGGCUCACUGGCUCGAUACUGACGCUGAGGUGCGAAAGUGUGGGGAGCAAACAGGAUUAGAUACCCUGGUAGUCCACACCGUAAACGAUGAAUG